UUAAAAGUUUCUGCGUUAGAUCCCUCCAGAAGAUGCAUUUUUUAGGAAUUUUUACAAUUAUAACAGUGUUUGUAGUUCCAAGCAACUGUUGGCAGUAUAAUUAUCGUGCUGGUGGCAUUUGUGAUGAUACUAAUUCAGAGUUGGCUGUUGAUACGGAAAUUGGUGCAGGCUCAGGAGCUGGAAGGCGUUACGAGAGGCUGCGUUAUGAGGCGAUAGAUUAUGUAAAAUGCGUAGAUGCUGAAGAUCUUUGGGCAGACAACACUGGUGGAGAUGUGUCGUUAACUGGUGGAGGUGUUGGUCAGAAAUUUAUCCAAUUACAAUUUAAAACUCAAAGGUUGAGAGGAAUGAAAUUUCGAGUAAGAAUAUGGGAACCAAAAGCAAAUCAUUAAUUAUUAUGUUUGGUUGAUUUCCAAGAUGAACAGCAUUUGUAUGCUUGGUUGUUACAACAAUCCAAAGAUGUAUAUUUUAAAAAUAAAUAUAAUCAAUUUGUAAAUGAA